rnacentral:rRNA from 1 species
UACGUAGGGUGCAAGCGUUGUCCGGAUUUAUUGGGCGUAAAGAGCUCGUAGGCGGUUUGUCGCGUCGACUGUGAAAGCCCGGGGCUCAACUCCGGGUCUGCAGUCGAUACGGGCAGACUAGAGUUCGGUAGGGGGAGACUGGAAUUCCUGGUGUAGCGGUGAAAUGCGCAGAUAUCAGGAGGAACACCGGUGGCGAAGGCGGGUCUCUGGGCCGGUACUGACGCUGAGACGCGAAAGUGUGGGGGAGCGAACAGG